GCAAGUGUCCCCUUCCUCCUCACUGCUCCAUGUGCAUCCCUCCCAAAGUUGCGUGCUCGGUCGAAGAGGACAGCCUUCCCCAGAUAGAGACAGACCAGUCUUCAGUCAAGGGUAUACGAGUAGCUGCGCUCCCCUGCUAGAACCUCCAAACAAGCUCUCAAGAACUCCCCCAAUGGCCCAACUGAUCCCUACACUAGCACGAGCAGGCCUUCAAGCAGAAACAGAAGCGGGGACUGAUGAGAGGCCCUGUCUCCCUCC
rnacentral:snRNA from 1 species